UACGUAGGGGGCGAGCGUUGUCCGGAUUUAUUGGGCGUAAAGAGCUCGUAGGCGGUUUGUUGCGUCGGCUGUGAAAACCUGAGGCUCAACCUCAGGCCUGCAGUCGAUACGAGCAGACUAGAGUGUUGCAGGGGAGACUGGAAUUCCUGGUGUAGCGGUGAAAUGCGCAGAUAUCUGGAGGAACACCGGUGGCGAAGGCGGCGACCUGGACAGAUAUUGACGCUGAGGUGCGAAAGCGUGGGGAGCAAACAG
rnacentral:rRNA from 1 species